rnacentral:lncRNA from 1 species
CCUACAUCUCAGCAGACCCCUAGCAAAUCCUCCCCAGCUCCAAGCUGCACUCCAGCCCUUCAGCAGGACGAAGCCAUCCUCAAGUCCUGAGGACUUGCGGGUCCAUAAUCACCAGCAACAACCCCGGGCUUUGGCCAGAAAGCCCAAUUCAGCCAUCCUUAAUGUCUGCACCAAAAAACAUCGCCUGGCCCUACGGGGUCGAGCUCCAGCCCCAUGUAGGUCAGACCUACACGAACCUGGACCCCAUACCUCCACCACAGCCUGGUGGCUGUCCCCGUGCCAUGUCCCCAAGCCCCGAACAGCUGGAACGACACACCGCUGCUAAGGCUCUUUGGUGAAUAAGCACACGCCUGUCCGUGUGUUAUUAGUGGUUUAAGUGCUUACAGCCCCACUAAAAACUGAAGGUGAUUUAAAAGGUUAUGUCAUCGAGGGGAUUUGAGGUAGUUGGGGCGAUUACGUUGCUGGAAGGCAGCUGAGAUGUUUACGCUCCCUGAAGUAUUUACGGGCCUUUAAAACCUUAUGGCGCCUUGGGGGAGAGGGCAGAGGGGAGACAGCUGUUUGCCGAGGCACGGUGCCCAGCUCCCGCCGCCGAAGCUGGAGAUGUCACGUCCUUAACGCCAGCAUUUCUCCCACCGACCAGGGAGGACUCCUGGGCCGUGGAGUGUCCUUGGUUGCAGGACCAAGAAUCCAGGUGAAGCCAUCCUCCUCCAUCCGCCUCCGAGGCACAACCAGGCCGCGAUGUCCUAAACCUGGAAACCCCACACCUGGAGGGGGCCCCACGGCAUCAGGGAUCAUAUUUGGGAAGGACUGAGCUCCCCGUUGUGAAAACAUCCACAAACAGGCCCCAUCCAACCGCUUGCUGACCAAAUGCACGAGCCCCUGAUACGGGACUGCGCCCUUCGGAGCACCGUUAUGGGCGGUAGGCCUCCCCGGCCACCAGCCGCUUUCUGAGGCAUCUCCAGCCCUGUUCUGGGUGAGGAGCAUCUGGUUAAACCCACUGAAGGCCCC